AUGAUUGUUUUGGCUUCUUUUGUGCUUAUGCCUAAAAUAGAAAUAUGUAAAUAUAGAAAAAUUUUAAUUAAUUUAUUUUCUUUCUGCUUUUCAAAGAAUUUGAAGCGUCACUACCAUGAAAACAGGAUUCAUCUGAAAUGUGACUACACCGUCUGCUGCUCACUGUGAAGGAGGAAAUGAGGGACCUGCUAGAGAAACAUCUCAAGUAGUCUUCAUGAUUGAGCAAAUCUCAGUCUCAUAUCCCUGUAUCCAACGUAGCCAGCAGUCCAGGCAUCCGUUGCUGUUGUUUGUAAGAAUACAUCAAAAUGCUAAGUCCUUCAUUUCUCAGCAUAGGCAGAGUAGAGCAGAAAACACUGCCUACUGUGCCAGAAAUCACUUACAGGUGCCUCAUUCACAUCCACGGCUGCUGACUGCCUCGUGUCAGGAGCCUCUGCUCUGAACACUGGGGCAGUAGGUGGGCACUGACCUCAUUCACUUGACGUCACCUGCCUUCUAACUGAUGGUAAGCCUAUCGUGUAAAAACAUCACGUAAAAUCAGUGUGAAUACACGCGUCACAUUGUGAGCAUCUGGGCUUCUGUAUCUUUUACUAGACUACAAACUCACAAGAGCAGGGACCGUGUAUUCAUAUGAGUGAGUUGUGUCAGAAAUGUGUGGGACUGAGAGGUGGGUGCAGAGAACAGACGAUGGCCACAGAACAAAGGGACUCUAGACUCCAGACCUGGGACACUCCGCUCCUUCUGUUUCUUUAAGGCUCCACAGCAAUCCCCAUUGCACUCAUUUGUCCACAAGAGCUUGCACGGAACUCGGUGCGCAAUCGGUUUGUAGUUUAGCUCUCAAAAUCUAGCUUUUCCUCCUAUCCUUGCCUCCCUCCCUUUUUUUUUUUUUUUAUUAUUACAGUGACUUAAUCUCAUUCAAAGUAAUCCUUUUUGCUUGUUUCAGAGAACACACUUGACACACAGUGCUAUCUCAUGCCGGGAUGUACCUACCUGAUUUCCUUUUCUUCCCUAUUCCAUUAACUUGCUGCAUAAGGAGAACUGAACUACUAUUUACACAAGAGCAAUUUACCUCCUGCCAGAAGUGUGAUGACCAAAUAGGAAGACAUCCGAUUGAGAAUCUCUGAAGGACACCACUCUUCUUUAUAAACAAAUUGGGUUAUCUGGUCCAUUUGGGCUCUAG
rnacentral:lncRNA from 1 species